UCGCUUGUAUUUUAAGAUUCGUAUACACUUGACCGGAAUUGAACGUAAUUUUAAGGAACUGCUAUAUGCAAUCGUUUGUAUUUCGUUUGAAGAGUAAUGAAGUGUGA